GCAAAGAGGGCAAAGAGCUAAGCAUAGUCACGUGCACACUCUUGAUGCUGGAGCUCACAUGAACUGAAACACUUCAACAUGAUGUUGUUCCUGCACAGCAAGGACUCUAUUCUACCUUAGUGUUCAGUGGACAAGCUACUAAUACCUCAGGAGGUAUUAGUGCACUUCUAAUAAUCCUAACUUCUGAAAAGCCGUUGGACUUUAAACGCUGAUUAUCAAUGUUGACACACUGCAGCAAGACGAUAUUUUUCCUUUUUUGAUUUUGUGGCUAUUUUAAAGACAUCUUUCUGGAACAAUUUGUCAGGAUUUUUUUUACAUUGAAAGUAUCAUGUGUUAUUUUUAAGGUGCCCCAAAUCUUAAUUUAUUUUGUAGAUAUUUUAUGUAAUGCAAGAAGAUUAAAUUCAGCAAGUAAGUCUAUCAAUUUUAAUUAUUACAUGACACCUCUAACAUACUCUGGUUAGUUCUCGCAACUGGUGUUUUCUCCAAUAUUUGUCUCAAGUGCUAUUUUUUGCACAUCCAAGUGUUCUAAAGGAACAUACCAACAACAGGAUCUAGUGCAGUUGACAUCAAGUCAUCUUGCAGAGUUGUGCUUGUACACAACUAUGGCUUUUGGGGAUCUCCUAGAGCAAGUUGGCAGCACAGGACGCUUCCAGAUCUUGCAUGUGACGCUUCUCUGCAUGCCUGUCUUGUUGAUGGCCAGUCACAACCUGCUGCAGAACUUUGUGGCUGCGGUGCCUCCUCACUACUGCAACGCACACACAAACCUGUCUCAGUCCCAGCUGAGCCCAGAGGAAACGCUGCUGAUCACAGUGCCUCAAGACCAGAUAGGAAAGCCCCAGAGGUGCCAGCGUUACGUUACUCCACAGUGGCAUCUCCUGACUAAGAACGGGAGCUCCGGCUCAGGAGAGGACAAAGACACUAAGGAAGGUUUGGAUGUUGGUCUGCAGGGAUGCGACGACGGAUGGUCCUAUAACAUGACUGAUAUGAGCUCAACGAUCAUAUCUGAUUGGAAUUUGGUGUGUGAUCUGCGCUCUUUUAAGCAAAUGGGACAAACAGUCUACAUGGGAGGUGUGCUUGUGGGAGCUGUUGUCUUUGGAGGUCUUUCAGACAGAUAUGGUCGACGCAUCCUCCUGCUCAUUUCUAACCUACUCAUGGCAGUGUCAGGAACAUGUGUUGCUCUCUCAAACUCCUUCACCCUCUACUGUGUGUUCCGCUUUGGCUGUGGCAUGGCUCUGUCCGGCCUGGGCCUCAACACCUUCUCCCUCAUUGUGGAGUGGAUCCCCACUCGUGUGCGAACUGUGGUGGGGACAAUAACAGGUUACAGUUACACAGUGGGACAGUUGAUCCUGGCAGUCGUAGCCUACUUCCUCCGGGACUGGAGGUGGUUAACCCUGGCUGUGUCUUUGCCCUUCUAUGUCUUCUUCCUCAUCUCAUGGUGGUUUCAUGAAUCUUCAAGAUGGUUAGUUAUGAGUAAUAAGCCCGAACAAGCCAUCAAGAACCUUAAAAGAGUGGCCAAUUUUAACGGACGACGUGAAGAGGGAGAAAAAAUCGACAUUAAAAUGCUGCAAGAGUCCAUGACGAAAGAGAUGUCCUGUUCACAGGGCUCCUACUCUGUCCUGGAUCUGUUCCGUAUGCCCACAAUGAGGAAAAUGACAAUCUGCCUGAGUGCUGUCUGGUUUUCAACAAGCUUUGCCUACUAUGGUCUUGCUAUGGAUCUGCAAAAGUUUGGGGUGGACAUCUACUUAAUCCAAGUGAUCUUCGGAGCUGUUGAUAUCCCAGCUAAAGUCGUCAUAACUGUGUCUAUGAGUUUUAUUGGACGACGUCCAUCCCAAAGUGGUGGUCUGAUCCUAGCUGGAAUCACUAUUUUGAUCAACCUGCUAGUACCUUAUGAGAAAUCAACUGCACGGACGUGUCUGGCUGUACUGGGUAAAGGUUGCCUUGCCGCAUCCUUCAACUGCUGCUACCUUUACUCUGGAGAACUGUACCCAACCAUCAUUCGUCAGAAUGGCAUGGGCUGGGUAUCCAUGAUGGCUCGUGUAGGAGCCAUGGUGGCCCCUAUGGUGCUUCUCACGGGCGAAUACAUACCUUGGCUUCCCGGUUUAAUCUACGGAGGAGCUCCAAUUCUAAGCGGAGUGGCUGCAAUAUUUCUUCCAGAAACACUUGGCUCACCCCUUCCUGACACAAUAGAAGACGUGGAGGACAGGGGAUCUGGGAGACGCUCCAAAAUUCCACCAAAGGAAACGAUUAUCCUGCAAGACACCCAGGCCAAUCUCCUAAAGCAGGCUGCCUGAAAUCUGUAUUGUACUCCUGAUGUUUAUGUUAACAAUAGUAGAAUGGUUACUGCUGUUUAUUUGUUUUUCCAUAUAAAGUUUAUUGUUCCGUAUGAUUGCUGGACUUCUGAAAAUGUAUUGUCUUCCAAAUAAACACCUAUGCAUUUAUGUCUUGUGUGUUUUUUUUCUUAUUUACAGUCCAUUGAACCCAAUUACUCAGCAUUAUUUCACAUCAAGGUCCUAUUUAAAAUUGCCUGUGUCACUGUCGGCUUGAUUUACUCAAACAAGUCACAUUAAGAACCUACUCAAGAA